rnacentral:rRNA from 1 species
UACGGAGGGUGCAAGCGUUAUCCGGAUUCACUGGGCUUAAAGGGUGCGUAGGCGGGCAGGUAAGUCAGUGGUGAAAUCCCCGAGCUUAACUUGGGAACUGCCGUUGAUACUAUCUGUCUUGAAUGUUGUGGAGGUGAGCGGAAUAUGUCAUGUAGCGGUGAAAUGCUUAGAUAUGACAUAGAACACCAAUUGCGAAGGCAGCUCGCUAAACAAUUAUUGACUCUGAGGCACGAAAGCGUGGGGAUCAAACAGG